CUGAGGGAUGACUUAGAGACCUUGUACCUGCUGGUGGCCAAAGAAACAUCCCAGCAAAGCUGUAUGUGACAGUGACCUGUUUGGCAUCAGUUUGGAGGGUCAUGCAGAGCACACCAAGAAAGCCCUGGACACCGACUUUGACCCCCCAGCAAGACUUCAAAACUCCCAGCUCCUGAACGAGGUGCAGCAGCUUCUCCACUCAGAGAUGGCUUCAGCUGGUUCAGAAAAAAAGACCUGAAGCUGGUUUCUGACUCUGAACUGUCCAGAAAGCUAAAUCCCUCUGCAGAAGAGUUUGCUCAGUGGCACACUGGGAAUCUCCAGCCACUCUCCCAGGGGAGUCAAUGCUAGAGGCACGGAUGCAGCUGAGGUUUUCAAACCAUCAAGCAGAUUUGGCCACACAGGCCACCUCGCAAGCCCCGUCCCGGGCAGGACCAGCGCCUGAGCCCCAGCUGGCUGACGGAUGCUGUGACCUCCCUCGGAGCCCAGCGAGGAGGUACCUGACACCACGUUCUGAGAUCCCCGGGAUACCCAGAGGUUUUGUCAGCUGCUCAUUUGGUAGAAACACUAUGCACUUGACUCUCACUCCUAAUUAAAAGCCUGCUUGCUGUGCUGUGUCUGCAGGCACCCGGCCGGGAACAGGACCACAGAUGGUGGGAGCCUGGGCGUUUGCUGCUCAUCCUCCCCAGCACUCACAGAGAGCUCAUCAGCAGGGAUGACUGACAGCCUUUCCCUCCCAAGCACUGUCCACCAGCAGCUCAGGCAAAUGAAAUAAGUUACUGGGUUAGAAGAGAGCACAAAAAAGUCCCUCAGGGAGACUUUGAGGGGGAGUAAGCACUAGGUUUUGUCUUAAAUCAAUUCUGCAAAACUGCUGACCUUGUCACUGCAAAACUGCGGGUGCAGGAAAACUCUGUCAUCUGAAUUCAGGUUUACACGUCUAAUUACUUUUGAAUAUGCUUGGAUAAAUAUUCCUUCUUUUAUUCACCCAGUUCUGGAGACUCCUGCACUGCUCAGGCACAGAGCAGUGGCCAUGCCCUGGGAACCAGGACCAGCAAGAGCAGGGAAAGCUGGAGCUGGCUCCCAUGGGAGCUCUCCAUGGAAAGGCUCACCAGACUCUUUAGCUUGGGCACUAGACAUUGUUCUCUGCUAAAAGGGCAAAUUUUUGGCAAGCAAGGGUGAAACCUGCAAAACAUAUGGCAAGAGCAGGUUAAAAGGAUGAACAAGUUCCCCAGUAACCAAAAGAUUCACAGCUACUGGCAGUGAUCCUCCAAUUAGGCUUUAAGGAGGCAGGAGGAGGUCUGGCUGGGGAUGAGGGUGAGGAGAAGGCUCAUUGAGGUCACCUGCUUCUCCAGAGGAAAUAAAAACAGCAGCACAGGUCAGCCCUGGAAUAGGCUUUAGAGGGAGAAGGAUGGUGUAAGGAGGAUUUGCUGCCUGCUUAGCCUAUGAGUAAGUAAGUUGUUUUUCCUGUAUUUUGUUCUCCUUUUUUUGGUACAAUUUCCCAAGGGUUUCCUCAUGUUUUUCUCCCUGUUCAGUGUGGCAGGGAAUGUGUCUGGGAGCUGGUGUGUGUGAGCAGUGCUUUGGGCCUGUGAUGCUUCCCUUACCUUGGGUUGCUUUGUUGGUGGGUCAGUCUCAGGUAUACUCAGUUUAGUGCCCAUCAGCACAUCAUGGUUUACUUUGCUGCAUGUGGGGAAUUGUCAUUUGUACAGGGGCAUCUAACUACUCAGUAGCACUGGAAUAUCUCUGUUGUGAGAAGGAGAGAGGGAAGCUGCUCCUGUGGUUACAGUCUAAGUGUGCUUGGUGCUGCACAGAUGCGUGUUGAGAAAGGUUGUUCUUGCUAAUUAGCUCUGCUAUCUUGGGGGAGGAGAGCGAGGAAGGAUCCUCAGCUGUGUGCUGCUCUGCCUGCUGCUGCCAGCCCUCUGCAGUGGUCCCCCUGUCCCCUCCAGCAUCUGGCCCAGCAGGAUCCUGGGGAGUCUGCCCUCCUCUCCUGCACGGCAGUGUGUCCCUGUGUUGGUGGCAGGGCUUCUGACCUUUAUUACUGCAUUUUGUUUCAUGUUAAUGCCUCUAAUGAGCUGAGCAGAGUCAUGGUCUGCUGGGGUUACCUGUCCUCCAAUCUAAAGUACUUCCAUCCCAACUUGAGCAUCAAUCUUUGUGCUGGUAUUUAUUGCUUGAUUCAAGUCCAAAAUAUCUGAUGGGUAUUACAUUUUCUUCUUACUGAAAGUGUUUUAUUUCCUAAAAGCUAAAGAAAAUGAACA